UACGGAGGGUGCAAGCGUUGCUCGGAAUUAUUGGGCGUAAAGGGUAGGUAGGUGGUCUCAUUUGUCUGGGGUGAAAGCCUUGAGCUUAACUCAAGAAGUGCCCCAGAAACGGUGAGACUGGAGUCCUGGAGAGGGUCGUGGAAUUCCCGGUGUAGCGGUGAAAUGCGUAGAGAUCGGGAGGAACACCAGAGGCGAAAGCGGCGUCCUGGACAGGCACUGACACUCAACUACGAAAGCGUGGGGAGCAAACAGG
rnacentral:rRNA from 1 species